CUAGCGAGACUGCCGGUAAUAAACCGGAGGAAGGUGGGAUGACGUCAAUCAUCAUGCCCCUUAUGACCUGGGCUACACACGUGCUACAAUGGUUGGUACAACGAGUUGCGAGUCGGUGACGGCGAGCUAAUCUCUUAAAGCCAAUCUCAGUUCGGAUUGUAGGCUGCAACUCGCCUACAUGAAGUCGGAAUCGCUAGUAAUCGCGGAUCAGCACGCCGCGGUGAAUACGUUCCCGGGCCUU
rnacentral:rRNA from 1 species